CAAAAAAAUCCAAACGUCAUAGCUACGUGAAAAAACACGUAGAUCCCUAAAAAUUCAUUUUGCUUGAAUUUACCUGAUUAAGGUAACAUGCACCGAACCACAGAUAAACAUGAAAUGAAGCUUCGAUAAUUUUCACUGCGGUUCACCUAACCAUCUUACGUGAAAAUAACGUACUUGCCUUGAUUCAUUCUGAUCGUGUUCACUGUCUAAUUCAUUCUGUGUUGUGAUGAAGUGUUAAAAUGGCGUCAGUAGGAAAACAAACUUCAUACGUUGAGCAAUAUUUGGAGGCGAAUUUCGUUUCUGUCCUUAGGACGUUUAUAAAGAUAGUUUUUUUUGUAAAGCAGCACCAGUAGACCAGUUCUCAAAAUUGCAUCGCUUUUGUAAAUAUUAUCAGAUGAACGCAAGGCUUAGGACUUGGUGCUGGAUGACCCAUCUCCUCUCUUGCUGAAAGCCAAGCGAACGAUGGCUGCAAAUACCGGCUAAAGAAUAUGUUUCCAAUUGCAUCGAUGCCAAACCCCACACCCAUUCAACAACUUCUAUGUACAGUUGAUUCGAAAUAGCAACAAGUUCGCUGAUAAAACUGUUGUGCCUCUUUGAAUCUAAUAAAACAUUAUAUAUUUUCACCCGGAAUAACAAUGCAUAUUCUAAAUACAAUGCAAAGCAAAUUAAAUUGAUAUAUUUAUUUUAAUACCACAGGAAGCAUAUUUUAGGUAUCAUCAAAUCCCUUGAUGAAUAAUACGACAAAAACACGUAGGUCUUACGUGGUGCUCCGGUGCAAUAAAAAAAAGUUCAUUUGUUCAUCGGUUCAUUCUUCUUCACCUAUGAUUCCCGUAAGAGCUACGUGAAAAGUGCGAUG